GAUGAACGCUGGCGGCGUGCCUAAUACAUGCAAGUCGAGCGAACAGACGAGGAGCUUGCUCCUCUGACGUUAGCGGCGGACGGGUGAGUAACACGUGGAUAACCUACCUAUAAGACUGGGAUAACUUCGGGAAACCGGAGCUAAUACCGGAUAAUAUAUUGAACCGCAUGGUUCAAUAGUGAAAGACGGUUUUGCUGUCACUUAUAGAUGGAUCCGCGCCGCAUUAGCUAGUUGGUAAGGUAACGGCUUACCAAGGCAACGAUGCGUAGCCGACCUGAGAGGGUGCUCGGCCAGCCUGGACCGGAGACACGGUCCAGACCCCGACGGGGGGCAGCAGUAGGAAGUCUUCCGCAAUGGGCGAAAGCCGGACGGCGCAACGCCGCGUGAGUGAUGAAGGUCUUCGGAUCGUAAAACUCUGUUAUUAGGGAAGAACAAAUGGGUAAGUAACUAUGCACGUCUUGACGGUACCUAAUCAGAAAGCCACGGCUAACUACGG
rnacentral:rRNA from 1 species